AGGAGCGGGAAAAUGAUUUCCCUCUACCCUUCUUCCAUUCUCCGGCUGGUGCCCAGUAAAUUAGGCCGGCAAAAGGCAGAUCGACAAGAGAAAAACAACGGAAGCUUACGAACAACGCACGUUGUGCGUGCAUGUGGGAGCACCCGGAGGUUUACCAGACUGUCUCUUGAGACAGAGGAAUUGCCUUAAUCCGACAGAGACUUUUUCUGGAAAUUAGAGUCCUGGACUUGAAUCGUUUCCAUCCUCUCUACUAAGCAGGGCCCGAGAAGAUUUUUCAAGGACCUGCUGAGCGCCAUGAUUUUUGCUGUCCACCAGCCAAGACUGAACAAUCACUGAGCUUUAACAGGGGAUCUACCUUGUCCAGCAAGAGAAAUUAUAUUUUCAUGUAAACACGUGUUUAGGUAAACUCUCCCAGCUGGUACUUUGAUGUUAAGGGAAAUUCAGGAGUGCCUUCAGACCCUCAAUCAGCCACCAUCAGAGGUCGGUAGAGAAAGGGUCUCAAGCUACCUAAGCCCAGACUUGCCAACAUCAGCAUCAUUUUUUUCUGAUAUCUACCACUGAGCCCUGCCCCCUCCAUGGCUAGUCUGGAGCUCGGUAGAGAACCAUGGUCUAGUCCAGGAGUCAGCCAACAAUGACCUGUGGACCAAGUUUGGCUCACUGCGUGUUUUUAUAAAUAAAGUUUUAUUGAAAUACA